AUUGAACGCUGGUGGCAUGCCUUACACAUGCAAGUCGAACGGUAACGGGCCUUCGGGUGCCGACGAGUGGCGAACGGGUGAGUAAUGUAUCGGAACGUACCUUUCAGUGGGGGAUAACGUAGCGAAAGUUACGCUAAUACCGCAUAUUCUGUGAGCAGGAAAGCAGGGGAUCGCAAGACCUUGCGCUGAUUGAGCGGCCGAUAUCAGAUUAGCUAGUUGGUGAGGUAAAGGCUCACCAAGGCGACGAUCUGUAGCGGGUCUGAGAGGAUGAUCCGCCACACUGGAACUGAGACACGGUCCAGACUCCUACGGGAGGCAGCAGUGGGGAAUUUUGGACAAUGGGGGCAACCCUGAUCCAGCCAUGCCGCGUGAGUGAAGAA
rnacentral:rRNA from 1 species